rnacentral:rRNA from 1 species
CGGAUUGUAGUCUGCAACUCGACUACAUGAAGCUGGAAUCGCUAGUAAUCGCGGAUCAGAAUGCCGCGGUGAAUACGUUCCCGGGUCUUGUACACACCGCCCGUCACACCAUGGGAGUCGGGAAUGCCCGAAGCCAGUGACCCAAGCGAAAGCAGGGAGCUGUCGAAGGCAGGCCGGAUAACUGGGGUGAAGUCGUAACAAGGUACC